rnacentral:rRNA from 1 species
AUUGAACGCUGGCGGCAGGCUUAACACAUGCAAGUCGAGCGGGGGAAGGUAGCUUGCUACCGGACCUAGCGGCGGACGGGUGAGUAAUGCUUAGGAAUCUGCCUAUUAGUGGGGGACAACAUCUCGAAAGGGAUGCUAAUACCGCAUACGUCCUACGGGAGAAAGCAAGGGAUCUUCGGACCUCGCGCUAAUAGAUGAGCCUAAGUCGGAUUAGCUAGUUGGUGGGGUAAAGGCCUACCAAGGCGACGAUCUGUAGCGGGUCUGAGAGGAUGAGCCGCCACACUGGGACUGAGACACGGCCCAGACUCCUACGGGAGGCAGCAGUGGGGAAUAUUGGACAAUGGGGGGAACCCUGAUCCAGCCAUGCCGCGUGUGUGAAGAAGGCCUUAUGGUUGUAAAGCACUUUAAGCGAGGAGGAGGCUACUUUAGUUAAUACCUAGAGAUAGUGGACGUUACUCGCAGAAUAAGCACCGGCUAACUCUGUGCCAGCCGCCGCCGUAA